CUACGGGGGGCUGCAGUGGGGAAUAUUGCACAAUGAGCGAAAGCUUGAUGCAGCCAUACCGCGUGUGUGAAGAAGGCCCGAGGGUUGUAAAGCACUUUCAAUUGGGAGGAAGGUUAAGUAGUUAAUACCUGCUUAAUUUGACGUUACCUUUAGAAGAAGCACCGGCUAACUCUGUGCCAGCAGCCGCGGUAAUACAGAGGGUGCAAGCGUUAUUCGGAAUUACUGGGCGUAAAGCGCGCGUAGGCGGAUUAUUAAGUCAGUUGUGAAAGCCCUGGGCUCAACCUGGGAACUGCAUCUGAUACUGGUAGUCUAGAGUUUAGGAGAGGGGAGUGGAAUUCCAGGUGUAGCAGUGAAAUGCGUAGAUAUCUGGAGGAACAUCAGUGGCGAAGGCGACUUCCUGGCUUAAAACUGACGCUGAGGUGCGAAAGCGUGGGUAGCGAACGGGAUUAGAUACCCUGGUAGUC
rnacentral:rRNA from 1 species